UCUGCAGCCGUGCUACGAGCGGGUCAAGGACUGGCUGAACGACAACCUUGUGGCUCUGUGGAUCUUCGCUCUAUGCACAGCCCUCACUCAGAUCCUGGGCCUGGUCUUCUCCAUGACGAUGUUCUGCCAGGCGGUGAAAGUCGAGACCUUCUACGCUUAGCGGCGCCGCCGACCUUCAGCCCUCCACUCGGAUCGGUUCUCCUCCAGAGGGACGGACAUCCUUCCUCCUCCUCCUCCUCCUCCUCCUCUUUGACAGACUCUUCUCUCGGUGACUUUGGCUCUCGGGUGUCGCCGGCUUCACCGUUUCUUCUUUUCCUGCUAACUGUCAGCGAGCACAGCGUCGUGUGAAGCCUCCGUUCUUUGGUUUGCUCUGUGUUGAAGCUAAUUUCUUCUGUGACACGUUUUUCUCAAACAGUAUUAUGAACAUGUAUAAAAAAAACUAAAAAGAACAAAAAACAAGCGACUCAGUGUAACCCCCUCCGUCUUUUAUAAUAUGUGUUUUAAAUUAUUUUACGGUUCGUACGUGUUUUUGGAAAACGAGCGCUCCAGAUGAGGAACGUGCACUGAACCCGUGUGAAGUGCUGCAAGUGCAUGACUCCUGCCAUGAAGUGUAUUAAAUGUUCUGGCUCGA